rnacentral:rRNA from 1 species
CCACCGACAACAAGGAGGCGAAGUUCUUCGACGGACAGGACGUGCCUUCCAGACCUCGACGAGCUCCGGCGGCACCACCGGCGGCACCGUGGUCAGCGACUUCGAGCAGAUCGCGGUGGGCAUCGGCCUCAACGUCCGACCCCGCAUCACCAACGAGCGGAACGUCGCCAUGGAGAUCGCGGUGCUGCUCUCCAACGUCA